rnacentral:lncRNA from 1 species
UUACAGGAAUUAAGUUUACACUAGCUAGGUUUCGUACCCAGAACCGAGAUGUUGGGACCUCGUGGCUGUCUUUUUAGAUGCUCUCAAAUCAAAAUCCAACGUGCUCGGCUGGAUGAUAAGAGACUAGCUACGACGGCCUUAAGACCGAGGUACGUCUCUACCAAAUAACCAUGAUAAAACAUUACCCAUCGGUUUCUUUCCGUGAGGUUUCCUUCAUGAUCUUUGGUAGAUUUUCCGACUGGUUGGGAACCUUGCCAAUCAUGGACUCCCAUUGUUAAAACACAAUCGAGAACUCGUGGAUAUGAUAGAGUAAUAUUUCAAAAAAUCCGAAUCUGUUAUCGCACCCAGUAGGCGAUACAGAUGAUCACUGAUGCUCACCGCCAUUCUCCUCAUAUGCGGAGUCAUAUAUCAACUUCCGGCAUUUCCGGUGAGUAUGCUUAGAACUUACUAUUCAGCCCUCAAACAGAAGAGAUCAUCAACCACAUGGUAUGACAAGCGCAUUUUCCGUGAUACGUCUCCCCUCAUGUAAAUUAAAUAUCGGACCUGUCAAUCCCGAACCUCAUAGGGAGUAUCUGGUAAAAAAAAAUAAAUAAAAAAAAAUAAAAAUAAAAUAAAAUAAAAAAUACUCCACACUUCACCACGUGGAACAAGGAUAUGAUAGGUAGUGGUGGACCUUCUAUCCUGGAUCGUAGACAAUCCAAAAUCUGGCCGAAGUAAUUCGCUUUGACCACCAGCUGAGAUCUUCACCCUCACUUAAAGCGACAAAAGCAAAACAAAGGCUUGGAAGUGAAAGAAAGAAAAACGUGGUUUUGAAGUCGAGACCCGCACGGCCUGUGCGGGAAGAUGAUGAAUCAGAUGCAUGAACCUGGUAGUUGACCUUGACCGAAGUAAUUCGCACGUACCUGCCUCGUCUCGUACGAGUCAAGAUGACUUUCGAAACAAAAACCUCAUCCCGUCACAGACGUAUUUCAAUGCCUCCACGGAACAUUAUCGGAUUUCAUCCAAAAGAAGUUAUCGAUCCGAAUCACCUGAGAAGACUGAGAUCAAAAGCCUAGCGGCUAAUCCAGUAGCCGAAUACUUAGCACGAUUUCCCCCACCUCGUGUAAUCCUCUUGAUGACUCAUGGCGCUUUUGUGAUGACGAUCUUUCACAUACUAUCAUUGAGGUAACGGAGUUUACAAUGCUCCCGCUUCCGGGCCUCGUAUUUGCUUACCUGUACAAAUAGUUGGCCAUCAUGCAUCUCUUUGUUCUCUCGACAAAAAAAAAACUCUUUAUCCUUGUUUUACUCAAUCUAUUUGUUUAUCGCAACAUCGAAUCCACAUUUUUUUUUCCCUCCUCUCAACUCUCCUCCUUAUCUGGUGGCUUGUCAGCCACCAACAGCCUGAAUGCUUUUUCCACGUGGCCGUGGGUUUGCGUAAUUUUCCCUCUCGCGUACGGAGGAUGUAUCGCAUGCGACAAAUUAGAUUUUACUGCAAGAUUGUAACUUACAAAUUCCAUUUAUUUUGCCUGUGAAAAGGGUGGAAUAACAAAUUACAAACCCCGAGUGGCCUAAUACGGAGAGAUUCUUGGCGGGGCCACUGUCAAAGCCAAUCAUAGCGUCUGCUACGGGGUUUCCGAACGAAAUUAACUUUCCCCCUAUCUCUCCAUGCCGAGAACACGUGCGGGCCAAGAUAGGUUUCUUAGUGGUGCUUUAGCUGAACUUUGAUGAUGUUUGGUCUUUCAGGCUUUCUUUCCCACUGCCGCGGCUUAAAGUUUACUGGGCAUGUACUACGUCGGUAAAGGCGAAAGUCAAUUGGGGUGAGACCCAAGUCUUGGUAUUCUAUACUUUUUGUGUGUAUGUACAUGUACAUCUUGAUAGCUUCAGUUUUUGCUCUUUUUUCCUCGAUCAGCUGUUCACUGUUCAAGAUGGGGAAAAAGCACGGAGUAUAUAAAAUAUUCGAUAUACGCAACCAAUGGAGCCCCCAUCUUUAUUUUUGAUAUGUCUCGAAAUCUACGUCGACGCCAUGAUGUAUCCAAUACAUGUCUAACGGCCAAGGACACGCGCACGCAGCCUUGUCGAUCAAUCUGCCCAUCCGUUUCCGUCCACCUGUAAGAUCAUUCUGGUGUAGGCAUCAAUCAAAAGACAGAUAGGUGUAAAAGAAAACAAUGAUGUUCUUAUUAUGGUUUGAGAUAGGAGCUCACGUUGAUAAGCAUACAGAGUACGUAAUUGUACAUUUUCUUGGCAGCGAUGAAUAUCCUCCGGAAGUGUUCAUGUAACUAUCGCAUUGUUAGGAUAGUCAGCAAACACGGGAAUGAGUUAGGGUAGUUUGCGCCCUAAACUAAAUAACAGCAUGACGAGUUUCGUUCGUGACGGAGGCAUCUCAGGGUUGGUUGGUAUUGUAGUUAUGAUUUCGUGCGAGUUGGGGUGAAAAUUCAGCUGAUUUUUACAUUGUUUAGGUACAAGAUAAUGAUGAUGAUGAUGAUGUAACUGUUUGUCUUGAGUCAUUUGGAGAUGGGACAAACAGGUACCGCAGAUGAGUAGAUAAGUUGAUAUGAUACAUCUAAGUUAAGCUCAAAACUAGCUAAGCGUUCGACUCAAAACUUCGUACAGAGUAGACUAGAGUCGAGGCUACUGUGUAC